rnacentral:piRNA from 1 species
UGAAGUUGGUGUGACUCUGGGUGACA